rnacentral:rRNA from 1 species
AAUAUUGGACAAUGGGGGCAACGCUGAUCCAGCCAUGCCGUGCGUGUGAAGAAGGUCUUCGGUUUGUCAAGUACUUCUCGUUGGGAGGAAGGGUUCUAGGUUAAUACCCUGAAGUUUUGACGUUACCAACACAGUAAGCACCGGCUAACUCUGUGCAAGCAGCCGCGGUAAUACAGAGGGUGCAAGCGUUAACCGGAAUUACUGGGCGUAAAGCGCGCGUAGGUGGUUCAGUAAGAUGGGUGUGAAAUCCCCGGGCUUAACCUGGGAACUGCUUUCAUAACUGCUGAGCUAGAGUACGGUAGAAGGUAGUGGAAUUUCCUGUGUAGCGGUGAAAUGCGUAGAUAUAGGAAGGAACACCAGUGGCGAAGGCGACUACCUGGACUGAUACUGACACUGAGGUGCGAAAGCGUGGGGAGCAAACA